AUAAGGUGAACUAAACAGGGCCUUAGGCUUUAGGGUUUCAGUUCUUCGACUUCUUCCUCUGAAGUCUCAACCCCUCUGCCGCAACUCUUCUCACUUCCUCAGUCACUCAGUUCAGUCACCAACGCCACCGGUCAGUCUCUCACGGCUCUCCUAGUCCUCACUCUCUCGCUCACGGAUCUCCUCAGUCCUCACACUCUCGCUCAUCGUUCACCACCGGUCGGCCACCGCAAGAUUGUCCCUUUUCCGGCAAGCUUUCACCGCAAAGACGCAAGGUAUGCAAGAAUUGGUUUCGGAGCAAAUCAACUAUUAUAAUUGACGAAACAAUUGAAGAAGCUUCGGAUAUCACAGAUUUUACGAUGGACGACAUACUUAAAUGAGUUUUGUUGAUUCAAUGGCUUCAUGUCUUUUUGUAAACUUAUAUUCAGAUGUUCUUUAAACUUAUUUAAAUAUCUGUAAACUUAUUAUGGAGUUUUUAGGAUGUUUGUAAACUUAUUAAUUAUCCCCCUCUCCCUUUAGGUGAGCUGUGUGCAGCUUCUGCCUCCUGGUUUGUGGCUAAUUUAUGCCUGUGUUCAGUAAGCUGUCUAGUAGUACUGUAGUACCACUUCUAUGAAUUUUAGUUUUUAUUAA